rnacentral:rRNA from 1 species
CGAACGGAGCUAAUACCGGAUAAUAUUUUGAACCGCAUGGUUCAAAAGUGAAAGACGGUCUUGCUGUCACUUAUAGAUGGAUCCGCGCUGCAUUAGCUAGUUGGUAAGGUAACGGCUUACCAAGGCAACGAUGCAUAGCCGACCUGAGAGGGUGAUCGGCCACACUGGAACUGAGACACGGUCCAG